AACGAACGCUGGCGGCGGGCCUCAUACAUGCAAGUCGAGCGCGAAAGUCCGCAAGGAUGAGUAAAGCGGCGCACGGGUGAGUAACACGUGGAUAAUCUACCCUUUGGAUUGGAAUAACCUGUCGAAAGACGGGCUAAUGCCGAGUAAGCUUACGAGUUCGUGAAGUUCUUGUAAGGAAAGAUGGCGCAAGCUAUCGCCGAUGGAUGAGUCUGCGUCCCAUUAGUUAGUUGGUGGGGUAAUGGCUUACCAAGACUAUGAUGGGUACCUGGUCUGAGAGGAUGACCAGGCACACUGGAACUGAAACACGGUCCAGACUCCUACGGGAGGCAGCAGUAGGGAAUAUUGCGCAAUGGACGAAAGUCUGACGCAGCCACGCCGCGUGAGUGAGGAAGGCCU
rnacentral:rRNA from 1 species